AGAACGAACGCUGGCGGCAUGCCUAACACAUGCAAGUCGAACGAGACCUUCGGGUCUAGUGGCGCACGGGUGCGUAACGCGUGGGAAUCUGCCCUUGGGUUCGGAAUAACAGCGAGAAAUUGCUGCUAAUACCGGAUGAUGACGUAAGUACCAAAGAUUAUCGCCCAAGGAUGAGCCCGCGUAGGAUUAGCUUGUUGGUGAGGUAAGAGCUCACCAAGGCGACGAUCCUUAGCUGGUCUGAGAGGAUGAUCAAGCCACACUGGGACUGAGACACGGCCCAGACUCCUACGGGAGGCAGCAGUGGGGAAUAUUGGAACAAUGGGCGAAAAGACCUGAAUACCA
rnacentral:rRNA from 1 species